AAAGAACAUAUGACAGACUGAACAGGAAAAUCCAUUUGAGGCCUCCUGGUCGACCAAUCAAUAUUAUCCCAAUUUACAGAUGGAGGAAACAUUUUGUAGUCUUUCUGCAUAAAGAAACCCUGGCAUUCCUCUGCAAUUAUGCUAAUAGAAUCGAGCCAUUUAACAGACCGAGCACCAAUAACACCAGGGACAACCACGCGCAAUGGAUACCCAUGAUCCCUGUUAAGAGUUUCUCCAUUCAUUUCGUAAGCAAGCAGAACAUCUGCUUUGGGAUUUGAAGCUUGGCUAAGUGGAAUUGAUCCCUUGUAUGGA
rnacentral:misc_RNA from 1 species